CAUGUAGGCGGCUGUCUAAGUCUGAUGUGAAAGCCCGGGGCUCAACCCCGGAAGUGCAUUGGAUACUGGGCAGCUUGAGUAUGGGAGAGGAAAGUGGAAUUCCGAGUGUAGGGGUGAAAUCCGUAGAUAUUCGGAGGAACACCAGUGGCGAAGGCGGCUUUCUGGACCAAUACUGACGCUGAGAUGCGAAAGCGUGGGGAGCAAACAGGAUUAGAUACCCUGGUAGUC
rnacentral:rRNA from 1 species